UUGCCCUAGUAACGGCGAGUGAAGCGGCAACAGCUCAAAUUUGAAAUCUGGCUUCGGCCCGAGUUGUAAUUUGCAGAGGAAGCUUUAGGCGCGGCACCUCCUGAGUCCCCUGGAACGGGGCGCCACAGAGGGUGAGAGCCCCGUAUAGUUGGAUGCCUAGCCUGUGUAAAGCUCCUUCGACGAGUCGAGUAGUUUGGGAAUGCUGCUCAAAAUGGGAGGUAAAUUUCUUCUAAAGCUAAAUACCGGCCAGAGACCGAUAGCGCACAAGUAGAGUGAUCGAAAGAUGAAAAGCACUUUGAAAAGAGGGUUAAAUAGCACGUGAAAUUGUUGAAAGGGAAGCGCUUGUGACCAGACUUGCGCCGGGCUGAUCAUCCGGUGUUCUCACCGGUGCACUCUGCCCGGCUCAGGCCAGCAUCGGUUCUCGCGGGGGGAUAAAGGCCCUGGGAACGUAGCUCCUCCGGGAGUGUUAUAGCCCGGGGCGCAAUGCCCUCGCGGGGACCGAGGUUCGCGCUCUGCAAGGAUGCUGGCGUAAUGGUCAUCAGCGACCCGUCUUGAAACACGGACCAAGGAGUCAAGGUUUUGCGCGAGUGUUUGGGUGUAAAACCCGCACGCGUAAUGAAAGUGAACGUAGGUGAGAGCUUCGGCGCAUCAUCGACCGAUCCUGAUGUUCUCGGAUGGAUUUGAGUAGGAGCGUUAAGCCUUGGACCCGAAAGAUGGUGAACUAUGCUUGGAUAGGGUGAAGCCAGAGGAAACUCUGGUGGAGGCUCGCAGCGGUUCUGACGUGCAAAUCGAUCGUCAAAUCUGAGCAU
rnacentral:rRNA from 3 species